rnacentral:rRNA from 1 species
AAACUCGCCUCUUGCAUAACCACAGUAUAAGAGGUCCCGCCUGCCCAGUGACGACUUAGUUCAACGGCCGCGGUAUUUUGACCGUGCAAAGGUAGCGUAAUCACUUGUCUUUUAAAUGAAGACCUGUAUGAAUGGCAUAACGAGGGCUUAACUGUCUCCUUCCCCCGGUCAAUGAAAUUGAUCUCCCCGUGCAGAAGCGGGGAUAAAACCAUAAGACGAGAAGACCCUAUGGAGCUUUAGACACACAGGUGGCCCAUGUCAAAUAACCCCCGCUAAGGGCCUGAACUAAGUGGAACCUGCCUUGAUGUCUUCGGUUGGGGCGACCAUGGGGAAUACAAAACCCCCACGUGGAAGGGGAGCACACCCCUAAGUUACUUCUUCUCCCGCAAGCCAGAGCAACGGCUCUAACCAGCAGAAAUUCUGACCAAACUGAUCCGGUAAUACCGAUCAACGAACCAAGUUACCCUAGGGAUAACAGCGCAAUCCCCUUUUAGAGCCCAUAUCGACAAGGGGGUUUACGACCUCGAUGUUGGAUCAGGACAUCCUAAUGGUGCAGCCGCUAUUAAGGGUUCGUUUGUUCAACGAUUAAAGUCCUACGUGAUC